rnacentral:rRNA from 1 species
GGAAUAUUGGACAAUGGGCGAAAGCCUGAUCCAGCAAUGCCGCGUGUGUGAAGAAGGCCUGCGGGUUGUAAAGCACUUUCAGUAGAGAAGAAAAGCCUGCGGUUAAUAACCGCGAGUCUUGACGUAACCUACAGAAGAAGCACCGGAUAACUCCGUGCCAGCAGCCGCGGUAAUACGGAGGGUGCGAGCGUUAAUCGGAAUUACUGGGCGUAAAGCGCACGUAGGUGGCGACGUAAGUCGGGUGUGAAAGCCCCGGGCUCAACCUGGGAAUUGCAUUCGAGACUGCAUUGCUGGAGUACGGAAGAGGAGGGCGGAAUUCCCGGUGUAGCGGUGAAAUGCGUAGAUAUCGGGAGGAACAUCAGUGGCGAAGGCGGCCCUCUGGUCCAGUACUGACACUCAAGUGCGAAAGCGUGGGGAGCAAAC